rnacentral:rRNA from 1 species
GGUUAGUCCGCACGAGCGCAACCCUACGUUUAGUUGCUAACAGGUGAAGCUGAGCACUCUAGACGAACUGCCGUUGACAAAACGGAGGAAGGUGGGGAUGACGUCAAAUCAUCAUGCCCCUUAUGUUCUGGGCUACACACGUGCUACAAUGGCCGGUACAGACGGAGGCGAAGCCGCGAGGCGGAGCAAAUCCGAAAAAAGCCGGUCUCAGUUCGGAUUGCAGGCUGCAAUUCGCCUGCAUGAAGUCGGAAUCGCUAGUAAUCGCAGGUCAGCAUACUGCGGUGAAUACGUUCCCGGGCCUU